rnacentral:tRNA from 1 species
GAGCCGUUAGCUCAGACGGUAGAGCACCUGACUUUUAAUCAGGGGGUCCCGGGUUCGAGUCCCGGACGGCUCACCA